GAAUUCACUAGUGAUUGUGGCAGGGGCGGCGGUAAUACGUAGGGUGCAAGCGUUAUCCGGAAUUAUUGGGCGUAAAGAGCUCGUAGGCGGUUUGUCACGUCUGCUGUGAAAACUGGAGGCUCAACCUCCAGCCUGCAGUGGGUACGGGCAGACUAGAGUGCGGUAGGGGAGAUUGGAAUUCCUGGUGUAGCGGUGGAAUGCGCAGAUAUCAGGAGGAACACCGAUGGCGAAGGCAGAUCUCUGGGCCGUAACUGACGCUGAGGAGCGAAAGCAUGGGGAGCGAACAGGAUUAGAUACCCUGGUAGUCCAUGCCGUAAACGUUGGGAACUAGAUGUAGGGACCAUUCCACGGUUUCUGUGUCGCAGCUAACGCAUUAAGUUCCCCGCCUGGGGAGUACGGCCGCAAGGCUAAAACUCAAAGGAAUUGACGGGGGCCCGCACAAGCGGCGGAGCAUGCGGAUUAAUUCGAUGCAACGCGAAGAACCUUACCAAGGCUUGACAUAUACCGGAAAUGGCUGGAAACAGUCCCCCCGCAAGGUCGGUAUACAGGUGGUGCAUGGUUGUCGUCAGCUCGUGUCGUGAGAUGUUGGGUUAAGUCCCGCAACGAGCGCAACCCUCGUUCUAUGUUGCCAGCACGUAAUGGUGGGAACUCAUAGGAGACUGCCGGGGUCAACUCGGAGGAAGGUGGGGAUGACGUCAAAUCAUCAUGCCCCUUAUGUCUUGGGCUUCACGCAUGCUACAAUGGCCGGUACAAAGGGCUGCAAUACCGCAAGGUGGAGCGAAUCCCAAAAAGCCGGUCUCAGUUCGGAUUGAGGUCUGCAACUCGACCUCAUGAAGUCGGAGUCGCUAGUAAUCGCAGAUCAGCAACGCUGCGGUGAAUACGUUCCCGGGCCUUGUACACACCGCCCGUCAAGUCAUGAAAGUCGGUAACACCCGAAGCCAGUGGCCCAACCGCAAGGAGGGAGCUGUCGAAGGUGGGAUCGGUGAUUAGGACUAAGUCGUAACAAGGUAACCAAUCGAAUUCCCGCGGCCGCCAUGGCGGC
rnacentral:rRNA from 1 species